CCUACGGGGCGCUGCAGUCGAGAAUCAUUCACAAUGGGGGAAACCCUGAUGCAGCGACGCCGCGUGGGCGAGGAAGUACCUCGGUAUGUAAAGCCCUAUCAGCAGGGAAGAAACAGGACAGUACCUGACUAAGAAGCCCCGGCUCACUACGUGCCAGCAGCCGCGGUAAUACGUAGGGGGCAAGCGUUAUCCGGAUUCACUGGGCGUAAAGGGAGCGCAGGCGGCAUGGCAAGUCUGAUGUGAAAACCCGGGGCCCAACCCCGGUAGUGCAUUGGAAACUGCCAGGAUUGAGUGUCGGAGGGGUAAGCGGAAUGCCUAGUGUAGCGGUGAAAUGCGUAGAUAUUAGGAGGAACACCAGUGGCGAAGGCGGCUUACUGGACGACUACUGACGCUGAGGCUCGAAAGCGUGGGGAGCAAACAGGAUUAGAUACCCUGGUAGUC
rnacentral:rRNA from 1 species